GUUCUUUAUCAACCCCCUCCCAUUUCCUGUCGCAUCUGAUGGUGGGCAGAUCCACCCCUCACAUUUAUUGAGUAUGGUACUGACAAAGCACCAAACAAAGCACUUCGCAUGGAUCACCUGUUUCACGCCUCACAACAACCCUUUAAAUAAGUACUGUUAUUAGCCUCACGUUUUUCAAAUAAAAUGAGGCUUAGGUGACUACUGAAGCUUGACGCCUAGAAAAACAUCCUCCAGGCCUGCGAUCGCCAACACGAGGUCCACUAGCGGCAUCCCAGCAGGCACCGCGCCUGCGUGCGUCGCCCACGCAAGCUUCUUAAAGCCGGAUCAGCUGAAGUCGGUUCAGGCCUUGGCGUCUCAGAGAGCAGGCGCCCUCUCAGCUCUUCCUCUGGAGAUUCCGCAUUUGUUGCAAAAAUACUCUAAUUUCCAAAUAUGCAGACUCUCCUCCCUCAGAAGUUUGAAUCACCUAAAAGAGAUGGAAGAAAAUGUCAUUUCUGUAAGUCCCAUCUUAGACAUAAUAGGACUAAUUAGCAACUUCCCUCUCAAGGGGGCUUUUUUAUGCACAGUCCAGAGACUGUUGGUCUUUGAUCAUAAUGCAUCCUGUGCAAAGAACUCUGCUGCCCUCUGCUGUUGCUGAAGGUAGAGGACACAGAAGAAAAGAACUCUGGCACCCGUGAAUGGGAGAGGAUGGGAACCCCUUGGUAUUGGCAGCUUCCCUGGUGGCUCAGACGGUAAAGAAUCUGCCUGCAAAUGCAGGAGACCUGGCUUCCAUCCCUGUGUUGAGAAGAUCCCCUGGAGAAGGAAAUGGCUACCCACUCCAGUAUUCUUGCCUGGAGAAGUCCAUGGACAGAGGACCCUGGCAGACUACAGUCCAUGGGAUCCCAAAGAGUUGGACACAACUGAGUGACUUUUACUUUCACUGGAAGGCCAGGCAAGUCAAAGCCCCUUCUGAGGGAAAAGACCCUUGUAAACAUCCUUGAGCUACUGGUCCAGUUCUUCACCCUAACUGGAUACAAGUGAAGAAGUAAGGAAGUAGCUAAGGGAGCUUUGAAAUGUGAAGGCCAGGAGAUCAAAGUGAGCAAAUUUAUUUUUUAAAAUCGGGCAUUAUCCAAAAAGUUGAUUAUAAGAAAACAGAAGAACCAAUUCCAUCUAUCCAUCCAUGUAUAUUCACAGUAAUAGAACAACACAGAGGAUAUAUUGCCAGUUCAACAUGUUAUGAAGAAGAAUAAAACAGGGUAAGAUUAUGUAGAGUGAUAAAAAUACUGUAUCCAUAAAGUGGUUGGGGAAUAUUCCUCUGAAGAAGUCAAGAAUGAGAUUAAGAAACAAGCCGUGGGGAAAUGUGAGGAAAGGAUGUUCUAGGCUGAGGAGACAGCCACUGCAAAGGUCCUCUGGUAGGAACAUGUUGGGGUGUUUUAGGAGAAACAAGGGUGACUAAAGUGUAGUAACUGGCAAAGUGACAGUGAGGCUAGAGAAGAUGGCAGAGUUUAGACUGUCAAGGGUGGCACUAGCUAAUAAUCAUAUAAUGUGAGCCACAUAAGCAUUUUAAAGUGUCUAGUAGCCAGGUUUAGAAAAAAACAAAAGGAAAUAGAUGAAAUCAGUUUUCAUCAUGUAUUUUGUUUAACUCAAUAUAUCUAAAACAUUAUGUAACCAAUAUAAGAAAGACUGCGAUAUUUUACUUUUUCUCUGUACCAAAUCUUUCAAAUUCUGUCUUACAUCAUGAUAUCUCAUUUGAUUUAGCCAUAGGUCAAACCUCAAUAGUCAAGUGUAGCCAUGGUUCCAUUAAAAAAUUU
ensembl:lncRNA